rnacentral:lncRNA from 1 species
CUUGGACGUUAGAACCCCGCGAGGCAGGGUGAGGGGCGCCACCGAGGAAGCGCCCACCGGGCUCCCGGGGCUGCCAGGCCCCAAAUUGAGGAAGUUGACUGCCAGAUCACACUCUGUUGGCCCACGCAGAUAGAUUCCAUUCAUCCUUUCUAAUGUCUACACCAUAUUUUGGAUAACAUGCCAUCAUCUCACAUUGUGUUGAAAGAAGAAACCAGAAUGUUGGGGUUGAUGUAUGCCAUAUGGAUGAAUUUAAACAGUUUCGGCCUUGCAAUAAUUGGUAUACUUCUAAUUGCAUGUGAAAUUAUACUCUUUUUAACGAAAGAUGAAACUAUUCAGUGGCCACAUGUACCCAGUAACAGAGGGAGCAAAGCAAAUCUUAUCCUCAAAGAACUGCAGCUGCUUGUUAGAUCUACCUGGUGGUUCCAUAGAGAAACUGCUCAGAGAACCUGCCUUUACCUCGCCUAAAACAGAACUAUCCCGGAGCUCAGCAAAGGAGUCCAUUCAUCCUCUAUAACUGCUAUACAAUAUCUCUGUUAAAAUGCUGAGAAGAUUUAUCCUAAAAGAAGGCACCAAAGCAAUGGGGGCUGUGCAAAUAAUGAUUGGCCUGAUUCACAGUGCACUGGGAACUCUCUGAAUUCAUUGGAUUUUGCUAAGAGAGGAUUCAAGUGGUUCUGGUCCUAUCCCUAUAAUUGCUGUAGUAAUUUACUCAUUUUUGUCAUUAUUUUUUUUCAUCAACUCAGGAUCCAGUAGUGUAAUACAGAAGCCUGUUACGAGAUAUAAGAUGGUUGGUAUGAUGCUUUUACAAUAUUUACUACUCUGCACCAUCUUAGAGAUGACCAUUGUAAUCAUAAUCAUCCAGUGGGUUGUAAGAGCAUUUCAUCAUGAAAAACACACUGAAGAAAGUGAGUAACUUUGUUUCUGGCAGUCAAAUCAAGAUAAAGGCAGUUUAUAAUAAGGGCCCUCUCUGAGAGUUCAAAGUUUA